AUGAACGCUAGCUACAGGCUUAACACAUGCAAGUCAGGGGCAGCAUGGUCUUAGCUUGCUAAGGCCGAUUGGGCGACCGGCGCACGGGUGAGUAACACGUAUCCAACCUGCCGUCUACUCUUGGACAGCCUUCUGAAAAGGAAGAUUAAUACAAGAUGGCAUCAUGAGUUCACAUGUUCACAUGAUUAAAGGUAUUCCCGGUAGACGAUGGGGAUGCGUUCCAUUAGAUAGUAGGCGGGGUAACGGCCCACCUAGUCUUCGAUGGAUAGGGGUUCUGAGAGGAAGGUCCCCCACAUUGGAACUGAGACACGGUCCAAACUCCUACGGGAGGCAGCAGUGAGGAAUAUUGGUCAAUGGGCGCAGGCCUGAACCAGCCAAGUAGCGUGAAGGAUGACUGCCCUAUGGGUUGUAAACUUCUUUUAUAAAGGAAUAAAGUCGGGUAUGUAUACCCGUUUGCAUGUACUUUAUGAAUAAGGAUCGGCUAACUCCGUG
rnacentral:rRNA from 1 species